UUGACUGGAUCAGAUGGGGUUAAGUGUUCCUAGUGCCAAUAAACUAGUAGUUGCCAUGGGAACAACAGCCUAUUUAUUUUCAGGAUUGACAAACCUUACCAUCCCUGACGAAGGAGCCCGUUUUGGCUCAGAAACGCGUCGGAUUGAAUUUGUCCCCUGAAGGCCUCCAUACCAAGUGCGGUGACGUCACACGCCAAGUUCCCAGACUUCAACUGGGGUUCCCUCGCGUGAGUGAUCUGCUGCCGGCCAGAGCACCACCUACGCCAGAGGUUGAACCUGAAGGCGCUUUGGAACCCAACCAACCCACCGGAUCCAAUAAUAAGAACACUCUACGGACAGACUACCUGCUUAAUAAGUGACGAGAACCCAUGUCCAUACAGAAGGAUAUAGAAGGUUUCAAGACUAAAUGAUUCAUAAAGUUCACCUGACGCGGGAACAUGAUAAGCUGCUCACCUAAUUACCCUCUGCGCCUACUUAGGCCAUAAAGUAUCCACACUGCGGAGUCAAAUAAGUUGCACAAACCAUCUGCACCACACACAAAAACAUCAAUAAAAUGAUAUAUUUUACUCUA